GGGUCAGUAGGUUGGUCGUGCCACCGGUACGUACUGGUCUCACUGAUUCCUCCUUCCUGAAGAACCGUAAUGCCAUUAAUUUGGUGUUGCGGGGAAACAGGACUGUUACUUUGAAAAAAUUAGAGUGUUUAAAGCAAGCUAACGCUUGAAUACAUCAGCAUGGAAUAAUGAAAUAGGACGAUCGAUCCUAUUUUGCUGGUUUCUAGGAUUGACGUA
rnacentral:rRNA from 1 species